rnacentral:tRNA from 1 species
GCUGGUUUGGCUCAGUGGAUAGAGCAUUGGCCUACAGACCAAAGGGUGCCAGGUUCAAUUCCGGUCAAGGGCA